GGACAUUCCUGGAAUGACCUGAAUUCUGGCCCAAUCAUCUGGUCUGGGCAUCAUUGGGUCGCACAUUAGAAGUAGUAGCAUGGCCCUGCCUACACCUAACAACUUGCUUUUUAAAUUAGAUAAGCAAAAAAUAUUCCACUUUAUUUGGAACAGCAAGCCAGACAAAAUUAAACAGCCCUAUUUAUAUAAUUAAUAUGAAUUUGGAGGGAAGAAAUUAUGAAAUAUUAAAACAUUGGACCUCUCAAUAAAGGCUUCAGUCAUUCAAAAGCUAUACUUAAAUCCAAACUGGUUCUCUAGCACACUGGUUCUCUAGCACACUGGUUCUCUAGCAAACUGGUUCUCUAGCACACUGGUUCUCUAGCAAACUGGUUCUCAAUCCUGGUCAUGGGGACACAAACAGGUGCACAUUUUAGUUUUUGCCCCUAGCACCACACAGCUGAUUCAAAUGAUCAACUCGUCAAAAGGCUUUGAUGAUUUGAAUCAGGUGUGUGGUGCUAGGGCAAAAACAAAAAUGUGUCCCCAGGACGAGGAUUGAGAACCACUGCGAGCAGAUUAGUAAGAAUGGCUCACCCCUUUUUCCGCUUUAUUCAGAUUACAAUGUCUCACUUUCGUUUUUUUGACAAUGAAAUAAUCUCCAAAAUAUCUCUAUUUUGAAAACAGGCAAUAGAAAGCUGGUUGAAAUUUCAGUUUAAUCCACCAGAAAAGACUAAACAAAUAUUAGAUAAAAUAUUAGGGUUAAACUAAAAUAAACAAAUUGGUAAAGAUAUAUUUAAAACAUUUGAGGGAAAAAAAUAAAAACAGCAUAAUCUUGGUAAAUUAUGUCAUAAAUAGGACUGGUGGCGAUAUUUCAGACAUCCAGCUAGCAAAUGUAUAUGGAAAUAUCUGCUCUACUCAAAAUCCCAUCCAACUUAUUGCAGCAUUACCUCAAACAUGGAGAAGAAGUGGAAAGGGAAGAAGGUAAGGAAUGGGUAUGUCGGCCCUGCAUUAAAGACCAAAAUUGUUAUAAGUAAAAAAGUAUACCAAGUUUCAUUUAAGGACCCAAAAAUUGACAGCUGCGCCUUACAUGUUGCAAAAUAGUUGGAGGAGAUUUUCGAUGUACCGACUCCAUGACCCAUGGUUUAUGAACUGAUACACGAAACGACACAGAAUGUCAAAUACAUGAACAAAAAUACAAGCGCAAGCAACAAUUUCAAUGAUUUUACUGCGUUACAGUUCAUAUAAGGAAAUCAGUCAAUUGAAAUAAAUUAAUUCGGCCUUGAUCUAUGCAUGUCACAUGAUUGGGCAGGGGCACAGCCAUGGGUGGGCUUGGGAGGGCUUAGGCCGACCCACUCACCUACUGGGGAGCCAGGCCCAGCCAAUCAGAAUGAGUUUUCCCCCACAAAAGGUCUUUGUUACAGACAGAAAUAUUCCUAAUUUUCAUUAGCUGUCUGGCUGGUCUCAGACGAUCCCCAGGUGAAGAAGCCAGAUGUCCUGAGAUGGCGUAGUUACACAUGGUCUGCGGUUGGUCUCAGACGAUCCCCAGGUGAAGAAGUCAGAUGUCCUGAGAUGGCGUAGUUACACAUGGUCUGCGGUUGGUCUCAGACGAUCCCCAGGUGAAGAAGUCAGAUGUCCUGAGAUGGCGUAGUUACACAUGGUCUGCGGUUGGUCUCAGACGAUCCCCAGGUGAAGAAGCCAGAUGUCCUGAGAUGGCGUAGUUACACAUGGUCUGCGGUUGGUCUCAGACGAUCCCCAGGUGAAGAAGCCAGAUGUCCUGAGAUGGCGUAGUUACACAUGGUCUGCGGUUGGUCUCAGACGAUCCCCAGGUGAAGAAGCCAGAUGUCCUGAGAUGGCGUAGUUACACAUGGUCUGCGGUUGUGAGGCCGGUUGGACGUCCUGCCAAAUUCUCUAAAAUGUCGUUGGAGGUUGCUUAUGGUAGAGAAAUUAAUAUUCAGUUCUCUGGCUACAGCUCUGGUGGACAUACCUGUAGUCAGCAUGCCAAUUGUACGCUCCCUCAAAACUGGAGUGGCCACUCUAAAACAGCACAUUUUAGAGUGGCCUUUUAUUGUCCCUAGCACAAGGACAAGCACAAAUUUGUGCACAUUUGAGAGAAAUACGUUUUUUGUGCGUAUGGACGAUUUCUGUGAUGUUUUAUUUCAGCUCAUGAAACAUGGGACCAACACUUUACAUGUUGCAUUUAUAUUUUUAUUGAGUAUAUAUGGGGGAAACAACCAUCCCAGCUCUGCAGAUAUUGCUGCGAAGAGACACAAUCAUUAGAGCCCUUAUUUUUGGUACUGCCCAUAUGUUGCUUGUUUUUGGUCGCAGGUUCUGGAAUGGCAGAAAAAUUGCAACAUUUAGAUGGCGCUAACUCUGCAAAUAACGCUGCUGGGUGAUUUGAUCAAUAAAUGUCAAUGAUAUAUAAUAAUACUCUGAGGAAAAAAAAUAUAUUUUUAAUUUACAGUCUGUAGAAACUAUGAGAAUUUAAAGUUUCAGAACUUUUGUGAAACUUCACAGCACAUUGGGAAAAUGAUGGCGUCUUGAAAUCAAAACGGGAUGUUCUUCAGAGAUAGAUGGGAGGGGUUGAGGGUAGCUGAAGGCUGGGACUGGAAGGUCUUCAUAGAUAGAUGAGAGGGGUUGAGGGUAGCCGAAGGCUGGGACUGGAAGGUCUUCAUAGAUAGAUGAGAGGGGUUGAGGGUAACUGAAGGCUGGGACUGGAAGGUCUUCAUAGAUAGAUGAGAGGGGUUGAGGGUAACUGAAGGCUGGGACUGGAAGGUCUUCAUAGAUAGAUGAGAGGGGUUGAGGGUAACUGAAGGCUGGGACUGGAAGGUCUUCAUAGAUAGAUGAGAGGGGUUGAGGGUAACUGAAGGCUGGGACUGGAAGGUCUUCAUAGAUAGAUGAGAGGGGUUGAGGGUAACUGAAGGCUGGGACUGGAAGGUCUUCAUAGAUAGAUGAGAGGGGUUGAGGGUAACUGAAGGCUGGGACUGGAAGGUCUUCAUAGAUAGAUGAGAGGGGUUGAGGGUAACUGAAGGCUGGGACUGGAAGGUCUUCAUAGAUAGAUGAGAGGGGUUGAGGGUAACUGAAGGCUGGGACUGGAAGGUCUUCAUAGAUAGAUGAGAGGGGUUGAGGGUAACUGAAGACUGGGACUGGAUGGUCUUUAGAGAUAGAUGGGAGGGGUUGAGCGUAGCUGAAGACUGGGACUGGAUGGUCUUUAGAGAUAGAAGGGAGGGGUUGAGGGUAGCUGAAGGCUGGGAUUGGAUGGUCUUCAGAGAUAGAUGCGAGGAGUUGAGGGUAACUGAAGGCUGGGACUGGAAGGUCUUCAUAGAUAGAUGAGAGGGGUUGAGGGUAACUGAAGGAUGGGACUAAAAACAAACAAAUGAUAACGAAUGUAAAAUAUACUGUCCAUAAAAUGUAUAUUGUGUAGCAUGUAUAAAAUGGAAGUAGAAGCCUAAAUAUUGUUGUCCAUUAGUUAGCUCCAAUUAGGGAGGGGUGGUAGGUUUAGGGUAAAAUAAUAAAGAGGGAAAGUUAUUUAUAUAUAUAUAUAUAUAUACAGCAAGAAAAAUAUGGGUGUAUUGGAAGUGAUGCAGACAAUUACAUUGAUGGAAGCUACAGUCUAUCUGCAAUAUUAAAGCAGAUCUACCCCCUUAAUUAAAAAAAAAUAAUAAUAAUUAAACUAGAAAAAAGGUUGUAGCAUGGAUACCAUGUAUUCUCAGUGAAUUUGUUUGUGAAAGAUACACAACUACACUACACACUUACUAUAUUACUGUAGUAUUUCAUUUGACUAUUCAAACAUAAUCCGUUUUAUUCCAGUUAAAAUAUUUCUGUCCUUGAAAUCAAGGCUCCAAACCUCAUGAUCGAAAUGACAACAACUUGAGAAUGGACUUUGUCAAAACACAGAGGAUAAUGGUGUGUGUGUGAUGUGUGUGGUGUGUUUCACUAUAUUGGCCCAAUGCAUCAAGACACUAAUCUAAUUAAUUCAGAUGUUGAUGACAUCCCAACCUCCCUCACCCUCACCCUCACUCUCUCCCUCACCCUCUCCCUCACCCUCUCCCU